rnacentral:rRNA from 1 species
AGAACGAACGCUGGCGGCAGGCUUAACACAUGCAAGUCGAACGCCCGUAGCAAUACGGGAGUGGCAGACGGGUGAGUAACACGUGGGAACAUACCCUUUGGUACGGAACAACUCGGGGAAACUCGAGCUAAUACCGUAUACGGCCGAGAGGCGAAAGAUUGAUCGCCGAAGGAUUGGCCCGCGUCCGAUUAGCUAGUUGGUGAGGUAAUGGCUCACCAAGGCGACGAUCGGUAGCUGGUCUGAGAGGAUGGCCAGCCACAUUGGGACUGAGACACGGCCCAAACUCCUACGGGAGGCAGCAGUGGGGAAUAUUGGACAAUGGGCGCAAGCCUGAUCCAGCCAUGCCGCGUGAGUGAUGAAGGCCUUAGGGUUGUAAAGCUCUUUCGUCAGGGACGAUAAUGACGGUACCUGAAGAGAAGCCCGGCUAACUUCGCGCCAGCAGCCGC